rnacentral:rRNA from 1 species
GACGUAGGAGGCGAGCGUUAUCCGGAUUCACUGGGCGUAAAGCGCAUGUAGGCGGUUCCGCAAGUCGUGUGUGUAAGCCCCUGGCUCAACUGGGGGAGGUCAUGCGAGACUGCGGGACUUGAGGGCAGUAGAGGCACGUGGAACUCCCGGUGUAGCGGUGGAAUGCGUAGAGAUCGGGAAGAACACCCGUGGCGAAGGCGACGUGCUGGGCUGCACCUGACGCUGAGAUGCGAAAGUGUGGGGAGCAAACGGG